rnacentral:rRNA from 1 species
UACGUAGGCAGCAAGCGUUGUUCGGAGUUACUGGGCGUAAAGGGUGCGUAGGCGGUUGCUUAAGUUUGGUGUGAAAUCUCCCGGCUCAACUGGGAGGGUGCGCCGAAUACUGAGUGACUAGAGUGCGGGAGAGGAAAGUGGAAUUCCUGGUGUAGCGGUGAAAUGCGUAGAUAUCAGGAGGAACACCGGUGGUGUAGACGGCUUUCUGGACCGUAACUGACGCUGAGACACGAAAGCGUGGGAGCAAACAGG